AUAGUGCAAUGCACUCUCUUACCUCAAUCUACUUGCCAUGCACUCGAUCGUCUACGUAGAAACUUCCUAUGGGGAUUCACAGAUAACCAGAGAAAAUUGCACAUCGUUGGAUGAGACACCAUUAUCAACCCCAAAGAGCAAGAGGGGUUUGGUGUUACUUGUGCUGAAGGCCGUAACCUAGCCUUCCUUGCUAGAUUUGCUUGGAGACUGCGGGAGGAUAAUAGGCCUUGGUCUCGCAUUCUAAAAAGAAAAUACGUUACCAAUCCUGUAUCUCCAAGCACUGUUAAUGCCCUCAAUCGUGCUGCCCUAAUAGCGGGAAACUAGCUAUGCUCCAUUGGGAGCAAAUGGAUGGUUGGAAAUGGCCACAGAAUCAAUGUAUGGACUGACUGUUGGGUUGGCCACCAACCUCUCAGAGCACAAGUUUUAGGUCUUUUGAACUCAACAGACCUCGGUCUAAAGGUAGCUAAUAUUCUCAUGGAGGAUGGUUCCUGGAACCUUGAUAGACUGCCUUUUCAUCUACCCGACAGCGUUUUAGACAUCUUGCAAAGCACACCCAGAAGCUGUCCAGGGAAUAGAUGUGAUGAUAGACAAGUAUGGAGACGUCUUUUCAAUGGCCUUUUCUCGGGCCAAAACUGCCUACUUUCUAGCUUGUGGGGUCUAUCACCCCUUACCUCACAAUAAUUGGAAGUGGGUAUGGAAAGUGGCGGCGAUACCCAGAGUCCAAACUUUCCUCUGGUUAGCAUGCCAGUAAAAACUUCCAACUGCAGCCCACCUUCAUGCGAGGGCCUCAACAUACCCCCUGAAUGCUCUGUUUGUCUCGACAAAGUUGUGACCACUUCUCAUGUGUUGAUGGAAUGCUCGGCUGCUGCCAGCUUUUCGACAAACCUGGGCAUCCCACUUUCUAAAUGAGCAACUUUCUCUCUACCAGCGCAUGAGUGGCUACAACUGAAUUGUGAUUCUUAUGAGACUCAUAACCUGCACAUUCCAUGGCGUAUUUAUCUUUGCUUAUGCUGUGUGGGUACUCUGGAAAAGACGGAACAAUUUUAUCGUUAAUAGAGCUCCUCCUAUUGAGGGAUUACACCGAUCUGGCCUACAACUCGCAGCAGAAUUCUUUGCCUUGAGCCUCCCUGCUCAAUCUUUGCAUACUAGAUCCCAUUAGCAUUCGAUGGAAACCACCCCCUGAGGGUUGGUUCAAAUCGAAUAAUGAUGGAUCGGUCUCUACGUCUUCGGGGCAUGUAGGGGCUGGUGGCAUUCUAAGAAACCAUAUGGGAGAGGCAGAUAGUCUCACAGCUGAAGCAUGGGCUCUUCGGGUUGGACCUAAAAUGGCCACUGACUUAGGCAUCCAAUCGAUCCCAGUAGGCCUAGGAACCUUCUUCGGGGCUUUGCUAAUGCUAGGAUGCAACACAGUUUCAGAGAGGCAAAUGCAGCUGCAGACUAUCUUGCUAGACUAGUAGCGAGGACAUAUUUCUAUCAUCAUCAGGCAGUUAUGUAUUUGGAAACACCUCCUUCGGGUGUCUUCGAUGUUCUUUUAGCUGAUCUUUCGGGGGUCCAUAAAACCCGCCUUCUUUGUUAUAACCGAGCUUCGAUUGACUAUGGUUGAUUAUUAAUAUUAUUCUAGCCCUCUGUUACCAAAAAAAGAAAAAAACUAUAUACAUUCUUUCCUCUC